GACGAACGCUGGCGGCGUGCCUAAUACAUGCAAGUAGAACGCUGAAGAGAGGAGCUUGCUCUUCUUGGAUGAGUUGCGAACGGGUGAGUAACGCGUAGGUAACCUGCCUGGUAGCGGGGGAUAACUAUUGGAAACGAUAGCUAAUACCGCAUAAAAUGGAUUAUCGCAUGAUAAUCCAUUGAAAGGUGCAAAUGCAUCACUACCAGAUGGACCUGCGUUGUAUUAGCUAGUUGGUGGGGUAACGGCUCACCAAGGCGACGAUACAUAGCCGACCUGAGAGGGUGAUCGGCCACACUGGGACUGAGACACGGCCCAGACUCCUACGGGAGGCAGCAGUAGGGAAUCUUCGGCAAUGGACGGAAGUCUGACCGAGCAACGCCGCGGGAGUGAAGAAGGUUUUCGGAUCGUAAAGCUCUGUUGUAAGAGAAGAACGAGUGUGAGAGUGGAAAGUUCACACUGUGACGGUAUCUUACCAGAAAGGGACGGCUAACUACGUG
rnacentral:rRNA from 1 species